rnacentral:rRNA from 1 species
CCGAGGUGCUAAGGGCACACGGUGGAUGCCUUGGCGCCAGCAGGCGAAGAAGGGCGUGGUAAGCUGCGAAAAGCCCCGGCGAGGCGCAAACAGCUGAUGACCCGGGGAUGCCCGAAUGGGGAAACCCGGCAGGCAGAAAGCCUGUCAUCCCGCUUAUGCGGGAGGCGAGACCCCCCGAACUGAAACAUCUCAGUAGGGGGAGGAAAGGAAAUCAACAGUGGGUUCCCUGCAAAAUCCGAAAGGAUUUUGUAGGGUACUCUGAGACUCCCUGAGUAGCGGCGAGCGAAAGGGGAUCAGCCCAAACCGGAUGGGUGUUAAAGCCCGCAGGCGUUGCCCAUCCGGGGUAGCGGGACGUACCUGGAGGAGGCUGCGGACUCCUCGGGGAGUUACAAAAGGCUUGGGUAGCCGAAUGGUUCUGGAAAGGCCAGCCAUAGAGGGUGAAAGCCCCGUAGGCGAAACUCAAGCCUCUCCCUGGGGUACGAUCCCAAGUACCGUGGGACACGAGGAAUCCUGCGGGAAUCAGGGGGGACCACCCUCCAAGGCUAAGUACUCGCUGGCGACCGAUAGCGCAUAGUACCGUGAGGGAAAGGUGAAAAGAACCCCGGGCAGGGGAGUGAAAUAGAACCUGAAACCGUGUGCCUACAAGCGGUCGGAGCCCCGUCUUGAGGCGGGGUGACGGCGUACCUUUUGCGUAAUGGGCCAGGGAGUUACUCUCAGCGGCGAGGCUAAGCCGGGAGGCGGAGCCGUAGGGAAACCGAGUCCGAAUAGGGCGCAUAGUCGCUGGGAGUAGACCCGAAACCGUACGAUCUACCCAUGGCCAGGGUGAAGUCCGGGUAACACCGGAUGGAGGCCCGAACCCACCAGUGCUGAAAAACUGGGGGAUGAGCUGUGGGUAGGAGUGAAAAGCUAAUCGAGUACGGAGAUAGCUGGUUCUCCCCGAAAUAGCUUUAAGGCUAGCCUCACGGAAGAGUCUGCUGGAGGUAGAGCUACUGGUGGGGCUAGGGCCCCGAAAGGGGUACCGACCCCCGCCAAACUCCGAAUGCCGGCAGAUGCUCCGUGGGAGUCAGACCGUGGGGGAUAAGCUCCAUGGUCGAGAGGGAAAGAGCCCAGACCGCCAGCUAAGGUCCCCAAGUGGUGGCUAAGUGGUAAAGGAAGUGUGCCCGCUAAGACAGCCAGGAGGUUGGCUUAGAGGCAGCCAUCCUUUAAAGAGUGCGUAACAGCUCACUGGUCGAGCGGGCAUGCGCCGAAAAUGUAGCGGGGCUCAAGCCACCCACCGAAGCUGCGGGUUCAGUAGCGUAGGCUACUGAGCGGUAGGGGAGCGUUCCCUGCGGGCAGAAGGUAAGCUGGAAGGCUUACUGGACUGCAGGGAAGUGAAAAUCCUGGCAUGAGUAGGCGAUAAGGAAGGUGAGAAGCCUUCCCGCCGAAAGCCCAAGGUUUCCAGGGGAAGGCAAGUCCGCCCUGGGUUAGCCGGCCCCUAAGGCGAGGCCGAAAGGCGUAGCCGAUGGGAAGCGGGUCAACAUUCCCGCGCCACUCCGGUGGAGCGAUGGGGGUGACGCAGGAGGAUAGCCCGACCCGGGCGAUGGUAGACCCGGGCCAAGGUAGUAGGGGGAGGGUCCAGGCAAAUCCGGACCCUCGCUAACCCCGAGAACUGAUGGGGAGCCCUUUACAGGGCGAAGCGGGUGAAUCCACACUGCCGAGAAAGAACCCCUAAGCUAUGAAGCCGGAGUGACCGUACCGCAAACCGACACAGGUGGGCGGGUGUAAAAGCACCAAGGCGUUCGGGGGAACCCUCCGUAAGGAACUCGGCAAAAUGACCCCGUAACUGCGGGAGAAGGGGUGCCUCUCUCAGUGUAGGGACAUGCUCCUGAAGCUGAGGGAGGCCGCAGAGAAUAGGCGGUGGCGACUGUUUACCAAAAACACAGGUCUCCGCAAACUCGUAAGAGGACGUAUGGGGACUGCAACCUGCCCAGUGCCGGAAGGUUAAGGGGAGGGGUGCAAGCCCUGAACCGAAGCCCCGGUAAACGGCGGCCGUAACUAUAACGGUCCUAAGGUAGCGAAAUUCCUUGUCGGUU